rnacentral:rRNA from 1 species
CUAACACAUGCAAGUCGAACGAAGUAGCAAUACUUAGUGGCAGACGGGUGAGUAACAUGUAGGUAUCUGCCCUUUGGCCUGGAAUAACACGAGGAAACUUGUGCUAAUACCGGAUAAGUCUUUACGGAGAAAGCUUUAUGCACCAUUGGAUGAGCCUGCACUUGAUUAGUUUGUUGGUAGGGUAAUGGCCUACCAAGACUGUGAUCAAUAGCUGAUUUGAGAGGAUGAUCAGCCACAUUGGGACUGAGACACGGCCCAAACUCCUACGGGAGGCAGCAGUGGGGAAUCUUGCACAAUGGAGGAAACUCUGAUGCAGCGAUGCCGCGUGAGUGAAGAAGGCCCUUGGGUUGUAAAGCUCUUUCGUCGGGGAAGAAAAUGACUGUACCCGAAUAAGAAGGUCCGGCUA